AUACUGGCCAGAGACCGAUAGCGCACAAGUAGAGUGAUCGAAAGAUGAAAAGUACUUUGGAAAGAGAGUCAAAAAGCACGUGAAAUUGUUGAAAGGGAAGCGCUUGCAGCCAGACUUGCCCGCAGUUGCUCACCUAGGCUUUGGCCUGGGGCACUCUUCUGCGGGCAGGCCAGCAUCAGUUUGGGCGGUUGGAUAAAGGCCUCUGUCACGUAUCUCCCUUCGGGGUGACCUUAUAGGGGAGGCGCAAUGCAACCAGCCCGGACUGAGGUCCGCGCAUCUGCUAGGAUGCUGGCGUAAUGGCUGUAAGCGGCCCGUCUUGAAACACGGACC
rnacentral:rRNA from 1 species